rnacentral:lncRNA from 1 species
GCAUUUGAAAAAAGAACACAGUCCAUAUUUCUUUUGAAGUAUGUGGCAUUCACAUGCAUUUGACUGUUACCUGCGUUGACGAAAGGGGGGUUCCAAGAACGAUCGUCUUCUCUGAAAGCCUCAAUUUCUUGAAUAAAUCCAGACUCUCCCAAACCCAUGAUCAAAUCCUUGCUGUAUGCACUUUAAACCUCAUCAUCAUUACAUUGAAGGCUCUCAGCAGUGUUUGUUGAGUUGUGACGGAAAACGACUAAUGACUUCUGAACCAAACCAUAUUCCACGGAACCAAGGAAUGAAAAGGCUUAGCUCAUUUAUCACAAGGCCAAAUAGAAAAGAAAAAAAAGAAAGAAAAAGAGGUUUCCCUGUCCAUGUUGCUUUUCAAAGCGAACCACCACGAACGGUAGUUGGAUUGUAUAGAAUGUUCCUAUAAAAGAAUACUUCCCACCAAUUUUCCUUCGAAUCAACACCCGAAAUGUGACCUUGAAGUCCUUAUGCUCUCCCCCACGUUUAAGAAAAUUACAGUUUAAUUUAGUAAAGAUUCCAUAUCUUCAUAUCGACAUGUUCACCCCUGGAUUUUUCUCAGUAUUAUCGAUAUAUCUUCCUGCCUUAUCCUGCCGGGCCUUGAUUUGACAAGAAAAAGAACAACUUUACAUGUAUAAUACUGUUAGAAAGUAGACUUAAUAAUUUUAGACACAAUACAAGAAGAUACCAGUUAAACAGGUUUUAGAUUUAGUC